rnacentral:lncRNA from 1 species
CCAAAUAAAAAGGCUAAAGUUCCUCGGCGCUAGAUGCUUCCGAGCCAGCAUUGUAUUUACAUUACCUUUCCUUUGAGAUGAAGCAAGAAACGAUGCUGGAGCCUGGACCUCUUGGCGAAACAUAUUUCCUGUACCUUACCUCGGUAGAAGGAAACAACGAAUGUCGCAUUACUAAUGGUACGAGGAAGAUAACAGAUGCUGUCCUAAUUCUGUGAGCUUUUGUUCCGAUGGAGGAGGAUCUUUCUUAUAGCGAAGCUAUACCGAAUAUGUCAAGUAAUGAUGUUGCUUCUGCUUAUUUGCUAAAGCAGUUCACAAAACAAAUGUGAUGUUGCAGUGAUACGGCAAUUUUCAGCAACGAUGAUCAGCAGAUCCCAAGCGCUGUUCAUUCAAUCUUUUGAUGGCCGAAUCCAGAGUCAUUAC